UUUUAAUGUUGAGACAAAACCUACGUAGCACACGCAAACGCCCCAGUUGAGUACUUCAAUCCAUACAGUUUAUUCCGUACGGUUUUAUGCCGGUCACUAUUUUUAGAGCAUCGUGUGCAUGCAGGUCUACCCUCGAGCUUUGUCCUUGAAGACGUCUAUUUCUUGCUCUUGGGGCCUUUGAGAUGAUCUCGAGGUUGGGACAAAGGAACGAGGUGAACAUGGCGACCAGUGAAUGAGCAGGAAAAUUUUCAAUGAAAUUUUGGACAGUCCAUUUCGACCUAUUCUUCAUCCCUGAAUGUUCAUUUCUUUGAGGGUGAGGUUUUUCAGUGGCAUAAAUCGUCAGAAUCCCGAAAUUACUGAAGAAGAAUGUAAUUCGACGGCAUCGUUGAAUUGCUGAUCGCAAUAAAAAGAAACUGUGACCUAAUAAUAUUCCAACUGAAUAUUUCAAUGUUGAUUUCAUGUGGAAAACACCAGCUGACACGAUUCUAGGUGUGAAAUUACACUAAUGAGACGAACAACAGAUUAAUUGAAUUACCGUGUGAACUAACUGAGCUCGUACAGCAUUAACAAACAUUGAAAUCCAAAAAUUCCAACUUUGAAGUGUGUUCUCGAAAAAACUGAAUUGGAAAUAUGAUUAAAUGCUUUCUAUUAACCGUCAGCAUUAGGAAAUCAGCAAGUUAUUUACGAUAUCCUUGAAAUUUGGCUAACAGUUGAAAAAAAACUGUCCAUAAAUUUUUAAUGUGAUGGAUACCAGUGAGACGCUUUCACCACAAUAUUUUCCCCCAGAGUGAAAGACGUUGAAUUGUUUGCCAAGUCAAAAAAUAGUUCACAGGUUAAUCACAACUCUUGCGACAA